UAUUGCUACAGGGAGGACAUAAAUUUUACAUGUUCUUAUUCUUUUACUCAAGAAGUUGUUGCACUCUUUAACAUAUACUGAUUAAACUUGCAACGAUCAGAAUCCAUUUGACUAAUCCCUGCUUUUUUAGUCAUCAUAUCUCAAGACGGAUUAAGAUCAGGAUCGACCGUAGCCCUAGCUCCCAGUGGCCAUUGAAUAAUGUAACAGAGACGUUUUUGAGUAUACCGCAAGGGAUUUUAUAUAUUAUUAUUAAGGGUAGCUAUAAAUCGCCUUCCUUGAUUAAUAUAUGGUCGUGCUUGGGAAAAACUCCAUAAACCUGUCAAGGAGAGGAUGGAAAGGGUUUUACGAUAUUAAGCAGAAUUAUUCAUAACUAAGAAUAAGAUUUUGUACUGGGACGAAUAAUACCUCGUUAGAAUAUAAAAUCGCA
rnacentral:lncRNA from 1 species